GAUGAACGCUGGCGGCGUGCCUAAUACAUGCAAGCCGAGCGAACGGACGAGAAGCUUGCUUCUCUGAUGUUAGCGGCGGACGGGUGAGUAACACGUGGAUAACCUACCUAUAAGACUGGGAUAACUUCGGGAAACCGGAGCUAAUACCGGAUAAUAUUUUGAACCGCAUGGUUCAAAAGUGAAAGACGGUCUUGCUGUCACUUAUAGAUGGAUCCGCGCUGCAUUAGCUAGUUGGUAAGGUAACGGCUUACCAAGGCAACGAUGCAUAGCCGACCUGAGAGGGUGAUCGGCAACACUGGAACUGAGACACGGUCCAGACUCCUACGGGAGGCAGCAGUAGAGAAUCUUCCGCAAUGGGCGAAAGCCUGACGGAGCAACGCCGCGUGAGUGAUGAAGGUCUUCGGAUCGUAAAACUCUGUUAUUAGGGAAGAACAUAUGUGUAAGUAACUGUGCACAUCUUGACGGUACCUAAUCAGAAAGCCACGGCUAACUACGUG
rnacentral:rRNA from 1 species